rnacentral:rRNA from 1 species
CUGUGAUGCCCUUAGAUGUCCUGGGCUGCACGCGCGCUACACUGACCGGAUCAAAAAGUUUAAAAUCCUUGGCUGUCGAGUCUGGGUAAUCUUAUAAAUCCGGUCGUGCUGGGGAUAGAUCAUUGUAAUUAUUGGUCUUCAACGAGGAAUCCCUAGUAAUCGCAAGUCAUUAGCUUGCGUUGAUUACGUCCCUGCCCUUU